rnacentral:lncRNA from 1 species
ACCUUCAAAUUUCAAUAAAAUCAAUCUCACCAACAAUCUAAACAGGCCCGAAGCCCAGCACAAGGGCAUUUACAAUUUGAAGAGCAAGGAAGUGAUAUUUGAGUAAUGUAACCGCAAAUCAGAAAUAGGCUCCAAAUACUACUGAUACCCACAAAAGUAGAUGACAUUGCAAUCCCACCCUUCAUUACCAAAUUGUGUCCAAAUUUUGCGUACGUAGUAGAAAGUUUGAAGAAGGCGAAGACGAUGCACAAUCAUCAACAACACCAGCAUCCAACACUUUCACUCAAAAUUCUUCAAUAACAGAUUUUUUGUCUCUAUCUAUGGCUAAACGCCGUUGGUGGGGGAACAUUGAUAAAACCAUUCUACCAAAUGGUCGGAUUGCAUAGCCUCCUUUUGUCUCUCUUCAUAAUAAACGUAACGUGGUGCAAUGCACUGGGUACUGGCAUCCACUGCCUUUAAAUUUACCUUUGCUUACACGUGAGACUGACUGAUAUCGACUCUCCUCCUCCUCCCCCUCCAAAUUAAGGCUGCCCACAAAUCAUUUUCAGCUUCCUAGAUUUGUAUCUGAAGCUGAUAUUAGUGUAUUUGUUUUUUUUUAAAG